rnacentral:ribozyme from 1 species
GCCGCAGUUGACGAAGUAAACGCUGAAGAACACAUGUCGUGGAUUGCAACUAUCGAAACCCCCCACUAUCGCAAGAUC